rnacentral:rRNA from 1 species
AGUGAACGCUGGCGGUAGGCCUAACACAUGCAAGUCGAACGGCAGCACAGGAGAGCUUGCUCUCUGGGUGGCGAGUGGCGGACGGGUGAGGAAUACAUCGGAAUCUACCUUUUCGUGGGGGAUAACGUAGGGAAACUUACGCUAAUACCGCAUAGGACCUUCGGGUGAAAGUGGGGGACCUUCGGGCCUCACGCGGAUAG